AUGACGAGCUCCACCUCCGCCGCACUGAUCAGUCGCCGCAGCACGCGUGAGCCUCGGCCCAGGGCAUUCCGCCUCGACUCGGCCACGGGCCGCCCGAUGCAGGACAAGCACUUGCGGCCCUCCGGCAUGGACCCCAUCGCCCGUAGCACGCAAGCCGAGCAGUACCGUGCGCCGCAGGCGAGGCACGCCUCCUUGUCCCCACGGCCCCAGAAGCCGCCUCCCUUCCCGCAUCUGUAG
rnacentral:rRNA from 1 species